GGUUCAUUCAAAUUUCUGCCCUAUCAACUUUCGAUGGUAGGACUAACGCCUACCAUGGUUUUAACGGGUAACGGAGAAUUAGGGUUAGAUUCCGGAGAGGGAGCCUGAGAAACGGCUACCACAUCCAAGGAAGGCAGCAGGCGCGCAAAUUACCCAAUCCUGACCAGGGCGGUAGUGACAAUAAAUAACAAUACAGGGCUCUCUGAGUCUUGUAAUUGGAAUGAGUACAAUUUAAAUCCCUUAACGAGGAACAAUUGGAGGGCAAGUCUGGUGCCAGCAGCCGCGGUAAUUCCAGCUCCAAUAGCGUAUAUUAAAGUUGUAGCAGUUAAAAAGCUCGUAGUUG
rnacentral:rRNA from 1 species